GGGAACUCCAGGGAGACUGCCGGUGAUAAACCGGAGGAAGGUGGGGACGACGUCAAGUCAUCAUGGCCCUUACGAGUAGGGCUACACACGUGCUACAAUGGCGUAUACAGAGGGCAGCAAGACCGCGAGGUGGAGCGAAUCCCAGAAAGUACGUCGUAGUCCGGAUCGGAGUCUGCAACUCGACUCCGUGAAGUCGGAAUCGCUAGUAAUCGUGGAUCAGAAUGCCACGGUGAAUACGUUCCCGGGCCUUGUACACACCGCCCGUCACACCAUGGGAGUGGGCUGCACCAGAAGUAGAUAGCUUAACCUUCGGGAGGGCGUUUACCACGGUGUGGUUCAUGACUGGGGUGAAGUCGUAACAAGGUAGCCCUAGGGGAACCUGGGGCUGGAUCACCUCCUUAACGA
rnacentral:rRNA from 1 species